rnacentral:lncRNA from 1 species
AUGAACUCCACUACUACUGAGAGUCACUGCUCACCUAAUGCGGAGUUUUUAAUGGUUAAAUGCAGACCUUAUUAUCUCCCCAGAGAACUCACUUCGAUCAUACUCACUGCAGUAUAUAUCCCCCCCGACGCUAAUGCUAGGUUGGCCAUGAAAGAACUUUCUGCAGCCAUUAACAAACACCAGAAUAAACACCCCGAGGCUGCUUUUAUUGUUGCUGGCGACUUCAACCACACCAACUUAAAGACAGUCCUCCCCAGAUUCCACCAACAUGUCUCCUGCCACACCAGAGGAGACAAGACUUUAGACCAUGUUUAUUCCAACUUGGCUGGAGCCUACAAAGCAACACCCCUCCCCCACAUUGGACAAUCGGACCAUCUCUCCCUGUUCCUCACACCUAGGUAUUCACCACUCAUCCAACGUGUGAAACCUACUGUGAGGACAAUUAAAGUGUGGCCAGAGGGGACAGACGCAGUGCUCCAGGACAGAUUUAAAAACACAGACUGGAAUAUGUUCACCAACACAGACCUGGACCAGUACGCCUCAUCUGUACUGGAUUACAUCUCCGAAACCACAGACAGUGUCACCACCCAGAAACGGAUCACCAUGUACCCCAACCAGAAGCCUUGGAUGAACCGGGAUGUUCGUCUCCUCCUGAAGGCCCGCAACACUGCUUUUAGGUCAGGAGAUGCACACGCCUACAGUACAGCCAGGGCUAAUCUAAAGAAGGGCAUCAAAAAAGCCAAACACCACUACAAAAAGAAGGUAGAAGAACACUUCUCCAACUCCAACCCCCGACGCAUGUGGCAAGGACUCCAGACCAUUACAGACUACAGGACCAUCAAACCCUCCCCCGCAUCCUCUGAUGUCUCCUUCCUCAACGAGCUCAACAACUUUUAUGCUCGUUUUGAGCGAGGGAACCCCACGACCACAACCAAAACAGACACGACGCCAGACCACCAACCUCUGACUCUCUCCCCCACCGAUGUAGGAGCGGUGCUGAGCAGGAUCAAUGUCCACAAGGCUGCAGGUCCUGAUGGUAUCCCCGGGCGUGUUCUCAGAGCGUGUUCUGGGGAGCUUGCAGGAGUCCUGACAGACAUAUUCAACCUGUCCUUGGCCCACGCUGUGGUACCGGCCUGCUUCAAAUCCACCUCCAUCGUCCCGAUACCCAAAAACUCCAACCCAUCUAGCCUCAAUGACUACCGCCCAGUAGCCCUCACCCCCAUCAUCACUAAGUGCUUAGAGCAGCUGGUCUUAGCACACUUCAAAUCCUGUCUCCCCCCACCCUGGACCCCCACCAAUUUGCAUACCGCCAGAACAGGAGCACAGAGGAUGCAGUCUCCAUCGCACUGCACUCUGUCCUCUCACACCUGGACAACAACAACACCUACGCCAGAAUGCUGUUUUUAG